CCCGGGGCCGAUGACUUGCCAGGCAUCCCAAUCAGCCACUCUGCAGAGUCCCUGCCCUCAGUGGCCAGGCACAGAGGCCAGGCAUGAGCUUGCCUGCCAAGACUGGUGCUUCUGCAAAGUGGCCUCUUGGUUUGAGCAUGCCCAGCCCUCUGGCCAAGACCCCUGAGGAAGAGGUUCUGUGUGCUUUGCAGAGCUUGGAGAUGCUGGAAACUGCUCCUUCUGGUGGCCAGCCUGGAUACCCAGCCUAUUGGAGGCACCCCAAACUCCCUGAAGUAGGGACCCUGCUGUCAGCACCUAUGACUACCACUGUCAUCCUGAAGACCAGCACUGGGGGCUUUGAGGGACCCUGGACUCAGUACUUUGUAUUCAGAAAAAAAAAAUUCCAAGAAUCAGACUGGGCCUGGGUGACACAGGGAUGGUGGCCAAGAAGGGAGCCAUACCUGGCCAGAGGAGUGACGGACCAGCGGGAUCAUUCUGUUUUAUGAAUGACAGCACCUUGAGACAGUCUUGAAUUGACCUGGAAGCACUAAGUUAGCCCCAUGGCUCACCUGUCUUCCCCUCCUUCGAUUUGAGGUUACAAGUGCAUUCCACUGUGUCCAGCUCUCUUACAUGGUUCUGGUGACUGAACUCAAGGCCUCCUGCAUGCAUGGAAAGCACUUUACUGAGUUAUCUCUUCAGACUCUAGGAGUGAGUUGCUUCAUUUCACACCCCAAAGGAGCAAUAUUCUUGGGUUUUUCUUUUGUUGAACCUUAGGACACUCCCAUAGCUGAAGUGGGCACUGCUCAGAUCCGACACUUUCCUCCCAAGGCUAUAAAGGCAGAUGCAUGAAGGCUCCAUACAAAGCACACAGACUGUACUAUCUUCGCUGCAGUGGCAAGUCUGCCCCCAGAAGAAAGUGAGCUAACCCUAAGUCUCCCCACCUGCAAAAUGAGUGUGAUGGUGAGAGCCUCACCCAAUCCGGUCACUUCUUUCCCCUCCCUUCUCUGGGCAUCUGUGUUUCUCAGUCCUUACCAGUGUCAUUCUCCUUCAAAGUCCUCUGAAACUCCUGGCAUUUGCCCAUCCACCCCAACACCAGAUGAGAGUGUUUGCUGCCUUCCUUUUUAGUCACUCCAAGCCUGUACAUGUUCAUGUCUGACUUGUAAACCUCAGAAGUUGUCCAUAGCGUCAUGUGAAAACCACAGCUGCUCCAUGGAGACCCAGCAGAGGCACUGGAAUGAGAGUUUGAGGGCUAGAGGUGUGGCUUAUUUGGUGGAGUGCUGGCCUGGCAUACACAAGGCUCUGGGUUCUAUCCCCAGCACUGUGUAAACUGGCUGUGCUGGUGCCCGCCUGGAAUCAGCACUUGUGAAGAGGAGGCAGAAAGAUCAGGGGUUGAAGAUCAUCCUGGACUAUAUAUAGCAACUUUAAGGUCAGCCUGGCCUAGUGAGAGCUGUAUUCAGAAAGAAAGAAGGCAUGGCUAGGGGAAAGAGGGAGGAAGCAAAAGAGGGAAGGCCUGGGAGGAGAGAGCCCUGAGCUCUCAGCAUGGACAUUUUCCUUCCUGGCCCUAACCUGUCCCUUCAGCCUUUUGACUUCACUGUUCCCAUAACCUGCAUCCUACUCAUUGCAAGCUGAGGACAAAGCCCUCCUUCAGCAGGCUACCUCUCCUGAACCCCUUCCCACGGGUCUCCAGGAUCCUGGGACCCAAGUGAGGGGGAGGGCCGCUGCUCUGAGCUCGCACCCAAUUCUGCAGGCCGGGGUGUCAUCUCCCGCAACAGCUGACAGUGGCGCCUGCAGCGCUCUGGUGUCACUUUUAACACAGCACAUUAACACCACCGGCUGACUGUCUGUGCAAGGAGGCCCCAGCAGAGCCUCGUGCAGCCGCACCCCACAUGUGCAGUUGUUAACCCGGCAGUUGUUCAGCGGGCUCUUUUGGCCUCACCUCCAGAGGUGUUACUUCUGGAGUGAAUGACACCCCAGGCCUACCCGAGCUUCCCCAUAAGAAGGAGGGACAGGGACAUGCCUGUCCAUGCAGGCUGGCCAGGAGAGGAAGGAUGGGGAGAUAUUUUUGAGCAUUGACAUGCAAAGACCAGAAGCCUGGAUCUCCGCCACCUACACACAGUUCCCUAAAUUAGAAGAGGAAGGAGGGGACAAGGGAGAGAGAAAGAGUGUCACCAGCCACUUGAAAUCUUUCUUCAGUUUGUGUUGUGCCGACGGCCACAUGUGUUCAAAGAGGAUUCAUAAUGUAACAAAGAGACAAAAGCAGCCUGCGAAAGAGCCUGAUGCAGGCCAUGUGGUUCCGGUUCCACAAACACAAUACAAAGUCCCCCUCUUUCCUGGGUUCCAUUAGCCAUGUGGUCAGGCACUUUGGAGGGCGGUUCCACUUCCCCAGCUUGGGAUGACCGCACGACUCUCUUUGAUCAAUGUGGUUGGAGUAACCUGUGCUGCUUUCUGGUACCCAUGCCUCCUCAAUAGUGUUUCCCUGUUAGCCCAUCCCUCCCCAGCCUGUUCCACCAUGGAAAACUGA
ensembl:lncRNA